AGGACUAACGCUGGCGGCGUGCCUAACACAUGCAAGUCGAGCGGGGUAGCAAUACCCAGCGGCAGACGGGUGAGUAACGCGUGGUCAACCUUCCGUUGAAUGGGGGAUAACUAGCCGAAAGGUUAGCUAAUACCGCAUACGAUCUUUUGAAGGCAUCUUUAAAAGAUGAAAGGAGCAAUUCGUUCAACGACGGGACCGCGUCCCAUUAGCUAGAUGGUGGGGUAAUGGCCUACCAUGGCAACGAUGGGUAGCUGGUUUGAGAGAGCGACCAGCCACACUGGGACUGAGAAACGGCCCAGACUCCUACGGGAGGCAGCAGUGAGGAAUUUUCCGCAAUGGGCGAAAGCCUGACGGAGCGACGCCGCGUGUGGGAAGAAGGCCUUCGGGUCGUAAACCACUGUCGAAGGGGACGAUAAUGACGGUACCCUUGGAGGAAGCCCCGGCUAACUACGUGCCAGCAGCCGC
rnacentral:rRNA from 1 species